GAAUUUGAAGUUCAGAAAGAGACUGCUUACAAUGAAAUUCCAAAAUGAACUGAGUGCAUGAUUAUCAAUUAUAUACUAAAAAAAAAACCAAAAAUUAUAUAACAAAGAUUAUUAAAAGAAUCAGUCUGUAGAUAAAAAUAUUAUUCUUAUGAUUCAAGUGCGACAGCGCUGUCAUUUUGCACUCACCAUGGGCAACAAAGAAUGGCUCUGUGUCCAUAAACCAUCCAUUCAUCCAAAUUCCUCAAUACAAACAAUCACACUCAUAAUGGUAGAAGAGUAUUAAAAAAUAUAUAUAAAUAAAUAAAUAAAUAACUUCUCAAUGAAUAAAAUAACUAAAGCCAAUGCCUGAUUAUGAGUGAGCUGUGUUCAUGGUGUGUGUUUGUGUGUGCAUAAAAUAUUCAUGUCAUAGUUGGCGGCUACAUCAAAUCAAAAAUCACAAGAAUCUGAAGAGGGCCCCCUUCAGUAAAUCAAUAAGUUUAUCACUGUCAUUGAUAUUAUUAUUACAUUGUCAUAUUAGGAAGCUCAUGUUAAGAAAGGUGGACUGAUGUCAAUGUGGUUACGGUUGUUCAUGUAAAAUUAUGUCCCUACACCCAAGCCAGCACAUAAGUUUCAUCAAUAUGUUCUGACCACUAAAGGUAAUAUAGAGAUGUUGAACACAAUUUUCAGCAUGCUAAUAUAGCAUUAGAAAAAUAAAACCAUUAAAUUAAACAAGUUUGGUUAUGAAUCACAAGAGUCACACACACUACUGUAACAGAGAUUGGAUGGUGAUAAUAUGAUCAUCUAUACACACUUAAUUUCCUUCUCUAUAUGUUUUGGAUACAAAUACAACUGACACUAAUUAUGACUCGAGCUCAAGAUUUCAUAGCCCUGGAAUCGACGCCAGUGCUAUUGAGCUCAUUCAUCUCUAUAUCUUCAUUUAAACAAUCAGAACCAUAAACGCUAUUUGUAAAGAACAAACAGCCAAAUCAGUCAGCCACAUCAGGGUAAAAUUAGUCUGUAACAGUAACAAAUUAUUACAUCAAUCCAAAUGAAGCAUAAACUAGUUCACUCCAUAACAAAAUCCGAUGGCACCAAUUCACAAACAACUUAAACUAUUAGUUUUUUGCAGCUAAAUUACAAUUGGCUAAAUUUUUUCAAGAUAACUAUGAAACUGAACGAAUAUAGCAAAUUCACAAAACCAGCAAAAUUAACAAGUAAAAGCUAUAGAAUCAGUAUCUUCAGAAUUGAAGUUGGAGCUCAAAGAAUGGUUUUGUAUUCGAAAAUUGAAACUUAACAAGAGAAAUCGGAACAAGAUAAGAGUAAAAUUCGAUAUGUAAAAAGCCUUGCCUUGACCUUGAGACUGGGACGAG
rnacentral:misc_RNA from 1 species